AGAAUCCUGAAGAAAUAAGAGUCUUCUCUCAGAUGUCCAGAAAAAAGGAUGGCUCAGCACCUCCUGAGCUUUUGGCCUGUUAUCUGGCUUAGGAUCCAAGAGGCGAGAAAAAAGAUCCACAGCUUCCGGUAUAUUCUCCACCAAGAACAGGUCUUUCCUGUCAUUCACAAUAUUUACAUCACGUUCAAUAUUGUCGCCAAAAGGGUGCUUUCCUCCUGUGACACAGGAAAAUAGAACACAGCCUAAACUAAAUAAAUCUACUGCACGUGUUUGGCGUUCGUGGAGUAGUUGUUCGGGCGCUUGCCAGCCUGAACUCCCAUAACCAGUCGGGUGUUGGGUCAAGGAAGACAUGUCUCCAACAAGGCGCUUGCUAAUGCCCAUAUCAGAAAGCUUUGCACAAAAAGAUUUAUCAUUGAUUAUCAAAACAUUUUGAGGCUUUAAGUCCCGAUGUAUAAUUCCAAGUUCAUGCAGAUGAGCAAGACCAGAAACCACAUCCCUCAUCAAUUUUAAUAAAUGAAUAGAAGGAUGUCCAUUUG
rnacentral:misc_RNA from 1 species